CUCUGUGUUCUUGUGCCACAUUUAAAAGCAGCAUUCAGAUCAGCUUAUUUGGUUCUUUUGUAUUGCAUGGGAGCAAUGGACAAGCCACAAGCAAAAUUUACAAAAGAGUUGCAGUUGCAGAUCACCUUGGCAACAUCAAGGUGACACAGCUGUCUUCUCCCAGCAGCGAGAGGCAAUGUUGUGAUCAUUCCUCUGAACCUCCUUCUCUCGUGGAAAGUGUAAUUGACACACAAUGCAUACCCAGGUGCGGUAGUCCCUACCGUUACAAAUAAGGUUGCUGUGGCACAUUACCUGGUUGUGUAUCAUCAAGUCAAGACCGUAUCAGUCUAAGGGCAAAUAUAAUGAACACAAAUGAGUGCUCAGCUACAGUUUCAGACAAAUGGCUGAAUUUUCCAAGUUUUCUGUACAGUGAACAAAUUACCACAUGGAGACAAAAGUUGCUGCAGAAGUGGCCUUGGUGUUCAAGUAAGACAGAAAGGCAAAUUUCUGAUUUUUUUUAAA